ACGGCCACAUCACGUUGAAACAAAGGUUCCCGUACGAUCAACGAAGUUAAGCAACGUCAAGCCUGAUCGGUAUCUGGAUGGGUGACUACUUGAGAAUACCAGGUGCUGUAA